GUGAGGAAUAUUGCGCAAUGGGCGAAAGCCUGACGCAGCGACGCCGCGUGGGGGAUGAAGGCUUUCGGGUUGUAAACCCCUUUCGACCGGAAAGAACCGCGCUAGGACAAAUAAUCUUAGCGCCUGACGGUACCGGGAGAAGAAGCCACGGCUAACUCUGUGCCAGCAGCCGCGGUAAGACAGAGGUGGCGAGCGUUGUUCGGAUUUACUGGGCGUAAAGCGUGCGUAGGCGGUUGCAUGUGUCAGAUGUGAAAUCCCAAGGCUUAACCUUGGAAUGGCAUUUGAAACUAUGCAACUUGAGGACAGGAGGGGGAAGCGGAAUUCCCGGUGUAGCGGUGAAAUGCGUAGAUAUCGGGAAGAACACCGGUGGCGAAGGCGGCUUCCUGGACUGUCCCUGACGCUGAGGUACGAAAGCGUGGGUAGCAAACAGG
rnacentral:rRNA from 1 species